UACAGAGGGGGCAAGCGUUGUUCGGAAUUACUGGGCGUAAAGGGCGCGUAGGCGGCCUUCUAAGUCGAACGUGAAAUCCCCGGGCUCAACCCGGGAACUGCGUCCGAGACUGGAAGGCUCGAAUCCGGGAGAGGGAUGUGGAAUUCCAGGUGUAGCGGUGAAAUGCGUAGAUAUCAGGAGGAACACCGGUGGCGAAGGCGGGUCUCUGGGCCGAUACUGACGCUGAGGAGCGAAAGCGUGGGGAGCGAACAGG
rnacentral:rRNA from 1 species